UAUCCUGGCCUGAAGUCACACCAUCACUGAGUGCUGCUGUGACAGACAUGCUGGAACUUCAGUAUGAACUGGAGUUCAAGGCAACA